GAGAGAGAGAGAAGAGCGAGAGCCUGACUGAAAUGGCAAGAGAAAAAUAUAGAGUAAAUCAGACACAGACAGAGGAGGUGCGACGAAGAGAGAAUGAGUGAGAGAGAGGGGAUGAGAAACCAGGAAGAGAGAGAAGUAGUUACAGAGAAAAGGAAAGAGAAGGGACGGAAAGAGGAAAGUGUGUGUAUGUGUGGUUUAGAGGGGUGAAAAGGAAGAAGAGAGGAGACAGAGGGAGUGUAAGUGGAGAUGUAUUAUUUAAAGAGGUCUCACCCUGUCUAAUGAGUUUGGUCUAAAAGCCCCAGGAGCUGCCCAAAGACAGAGAGACAGACCGACAGAGAAACUUCCCUAACUAUGUGGUGAGAAAAUCCAAAAGCAGCCAGAUUACUGGGUAGGACUGGAUUUAGUAAAAUUCCUCUGCUUUGAUUAUGUUAAUUCUCCUAUAGUGUAGGUGACAGCAGCCUCGAUAGAUCAGCUCAUAUAUCUGGGGCUCAGAAGAGGCCUGGGCCUGGAACAAAGUCAGGUCUGUGUUACUGAGAAGAACCAUCUCAUCCAAUAACUAAUGCAAAAUAUUUCCACAUAGAGGACAUGGUGGCUAGCCACAGUGCUGCUCAAUGCUAGCCUGCUAGCUGGCUGCAAACUGUGGAAUGGACUUCCUGAACAGGGUGAAUGACUAGCUACCAGCUUCCAGCCUCCUGGCUGCCCUACCACUCAACCUCCAGCACCCCUGCAACCUUCCUGCAUUCAACUGUGGAUCCUCUGUGUUGUAUCCUCCUGAGUCUCCACCUCAAUCUCAGCCAAAGCCACUGUGAGUCUCCAUUACCACCACCAUACUUACCAAAUCACUAACGUUAGCAUCUGCCUGAGACCAAGCCUCACUACACCAGCUGAGCCAUCUGAUUUGCCGUCUUCCUCUGCCAGAUCCAGAGCCUCUUCUUCUACCU